UUUGGUUGGGCUGAUCCGGGUGGAUAGUUCCUCUAAUCCACCCGGAUCUCAGCUUUGGUUGAGCCCAACUGGGUUCUGGAUUGUACUUGGGCCCGGGUCCAGAUCAAGGAUUUGCUGGAUCUCCCAUCAGGCCAAAGGAGGUGAGAUUGGGUAAUCUCAUCCUGCUCUCAGCCCAAACAAGUAAAGUAUAUUACCUUUAUGCCCUGAAUAUUUAUUUCUAAUUACAAGACUACCCCAUAUAUAUAUGAAUUACCCCAAAAAUUAUUGUGUUAGCCCUAGAAUUUUACCGAGAUACAAUACACGCCGUUCUUCGUUCUGCUUUUCUCCACUGGGGUAGUUUUAUCACCGAGGUAAUUUUCCGAUAAUCAACUCUUCUAGGUUCUCUAACACGCUUCUUUCUUCGUUUUUUAGGCCCCUCUAAACCGGUUGAAGAAUAAUCAACUCAUCACAGAUUGAUUUCUUAUUUUUCAUACUUCACUAGUUUUUUCUUUUUUUAUUUGGUUUUUUCCGAUAAUCAACUCAUCACAGAUUGAUAUCACAGAUUUCUUCAAAUGCAUCCGAGUAUUGUUGAAGAAUUUUGGGUUCAUAUGGGUUUUGAUUUUUUUUAUUUUUCUAAUUAUCCGUUUCUCAUCUCGUAAUUAAAUUUAUUUGUUUCCGUUUUGCAGGUGAUUUUCGAUUUUGGUUUCGUAAUAGUUCGUAGUUUGGCCGGGCUGAUUCUGUUCUGGCCAAACGAUUCCGGUGUUGCAGCUGGUUGACGGUUGGCAGUCGAUUAUUCCGGUUCUGCUACACGACGAUUUAAGGUGAGUUCUCCAAUGGGUUUAAGCUCCUCUUUAGAUUACAGAUUAAGGAUUGAGAAAGGUAGCAUUUAUAUGGAAAAAUACAUUUUAUCUUUUGUUUUGGGAAAAAAUAGUACAUUACCUCAUCCAUUUUUAUAUUUUAUCUUUUGUUUUGGGAAAAAUAUAUUUUAUCUUUUCUUUAGAUUACAGAUUAAGGAUUAAGCAUUUUUUAUGUUGUUUACUAAAUAGGAUCACAAUUGUUAAUGGCGAACACGAGUGAGAACCAAGUAAUAGUUUUCGCGGUGUAUGAAUUAGUCGAACAAAUGCAAGUACUGUUAACAAUGCUUAGUAGGCUCAUCCGUUUGCUUCUACGUCGCCGCCGGGUCAAUAAUAUUGUCGGUUCAUCGUAUAGUAUGAGGGGUAAGAUACCUGCUCAAGUCCGAAAUUUGACUUACAUAAUUGGAACUAGUGACAAUAUAUGUCGAAAAAAUUUGCGAAUGAAUAUGGAUACAUUUAGCCGCUUAUGCUACCUUCUUCAAAAUCUGGGUGGUUUAGGACCCACUAGGCAUGUAUCCGUAACCGAACAAGUAGCAUUAUUCCUUCACGUUCUUUCUCACCAUGAAAAAAAUGUAAUCAUCCAAACCAAUUACCGAAGAUCGGGAUGGACAAUCAGUAAGUACUUUUCGAGGGUCCUAAAUGCUGUCCUCAAAUUACAUAAUAUUAUGCUCGUUCAACCCGUACCGGUAGACGAAGAUUGCGAGCAUCAGCGUUGGAAUUAUUUUCAGGGUUGUUUAGGUGCCCUAGACGGAACUUAUGUACACGUACGUGUUCCACUAACUGAAAAACCACGGUAUAGGAACCGGAAGGGUAAUGUUUCUGUAAAUGUCCUUGCCGUGUGCGACGUGAACCUGAAUUUUGUGUACUUACUGACCGGAUGGGAAGGUUCGGCUGCCGAUAGUAGGAUCCUAAGAGAUGCUGUAACCCGACCUAACGGUUUAAGUGUUCCAAUCGGGCACUACUAUUUAGUCGAUAACGGAUACACAAACGGCCCUGGUUUCCUUGCGCCUUAUCGGGGUACUAGAUACCACCUAAUUGAUUUUGGUGUUGGUACAAACACACCUCAAGAUUUUAGGGAGUAUUUUAAUUUAAAACACUCUAAGGCGCGAAAUGCAAUUGAACGAGCCUUCGGAAUCUUGAAGUCAAGGUGGGGGAUAUUACGGAGCGCGUCGUAUUACCCGAUCAAAAUCCAAAAUCGGAUCAUUAUGGCUUGUUGUUUAUUACACAAUUUUAUUCGCACCACUAAUGAUUUCGACCCGGAAGAAAAUGUAGUUGCACAAGAAAUUAUUCGGAAAAAUCCGGAUCGUAGUUAUGCGGUCAUCCAAAGCGUUGAGCCCUCGGACGAAUGGACUGCGUGGCGUGACACCCUAGCAAUGAAUAUGUACAACAAUUGGUUACGCGAGCGAGGAAUGUGAUACUUUAAGUAAACAAUUGUUUGUUACAAUUUUAUGAAUUUUUUUUUUGAACAUUAGUCUGGUUAAUGUGUUAUGUUCCCUGAAUUCAAAAUAGCGAAGUAUGAAAAAUAUUUCAUACUGUAUACCUUUUUUUAUAUUUCUAUUAAUCAUUAAUGCAAUUUGUUUGUUACGUUUGUUUAAAUUCGUUAUGCCUUUUUUCCGUGCAAUUCUCUAAUCGUAAACAUAAUCAGGGACAAAAUGUCUACAUCACUUUCACAAAGAAGUUCGGGGUCUCGCAAACCGCGAACCAACAUUACGAGGCGAUGUUGGUCUCCAAUGGAAGAACAACACCUAAUUACCUCACUAAAAGACAUCGUUUCGCGUGGGUGGAAAUCCGACAACGGGUUCCGGACCGGUUACUUAGGUGUGUUGGAACAACACAUGGCUCAAAAAUUCCCCGGGACCGACAUUAAGGCGGAUCCUAUGAUUUUAUCAAAGCUUCACGUUUGGAAAAAAAAUUAUGGCUCGCUUUCCCAAAUGCUUUCAAGGUCGGGAUUUUGUUGGAAUGAGUCGGCGAACACCAUUGAUGUAAUCGACGAUCAAGUGUGGAACGAUUAUGUUAAGUUCGAUUCAAAUGCCCGGUUGAUGCGCUAUAAAUCAUGGCCAUAUUUCAAAGAUUGGACAAUCAUCUUUGGAAAAGAUCGGGCUACGGGGGAAAGUGCCGAGACUCUCGCCGAUGCGAUCAAUGAUAUAUCGAAACAAGAUAAAGAAGCGGGCGACGAUUCAAUGGGUGGAGACCACAUACCGCAACCUGCCAUGCACUCCAACGAGAAUGACUCGGAGAACAUGUCCUCAUUGCACGGUGAAGGUUACAUGUCAAACAUGCAAGGUGAAGGGACUUCAACCUCACAUCAAAGUAGGGGUAAAAAGAAAGGCAACAAGCGUUCCCGAAACGAUGACCUCGAUGGUCGUAUCGUGGAUAUGAUGGUGGAUAUGACUAGGACUUUUGCGGAGACUAAAACAUGAGUGAGAAAAACUCACCGAUACGAAUGUACUUGGUCUUUAAGAUCCCCAAUUUCUUACGAAUGUACUUGUAUGCCUAGUCUUUAAGAUCCCCAAUUUCUUACAAAUGUACUUGAGUGAGAAAAACUCACCGUGCUUUUUUUGGAUCACGGUUUGUGCCAUGAUGAGUGAUGAGUUGUUGUCAUUUCCAACAACGAAGUUGCCGACCCGUGCCUCGUACGCCAAAA